UUCCAUUUCUGUAACCUCAUGUUGUAUAUUUUAUUUGUCGGGGAUAGUACACUUGUACUUUUGUACCACUCCAUCCGAUUGGUCAAACAAAUAAAAUUUAAAAUUACUAGACCAAUCAGAGGAAUGGUACAUCGAUGCUUAGUCCUAUUAUCAUGUUGCAUAAAAUUGUCAAAAUCCGAGUGACAUGGUUAUGAAUCCAGGUUAAAGGACUACUGAAAGACAAGAAAUUGGAAGUACUAGUGGAUGCAGAUUUACAGGGAAAUUAUGAUGAUGAUGAGGUAGAGCAGUUAAUCCAAGUGGCCUUACUAUGCACACAAGGCUCACCUGUAGAAAGACCAAAGAUGUCCGAGGUUGUCAGAAUGCUAGAAGGCGAUGGUUUAGCCGAAAAAUGGGAGCAAUGGCAGAAAGAGGAGACAUUCCGGCAAGAUUUUAAUCACAUUCAUCACCCUAAUGCAAAUUGGAUAGUAGACUCAACUUCACAUAUUCAACCAGAUGAACUAUCAGGUCCUAGAUGAUAAGUGAAGAACACAGAAACAAAAUCAUGCCCCUUAUUUGUGCAUAUAAUAUGAUUCUAUUAUCCCUUUUUUGAAAUUAUCUUAAUGUUCAAAUUACAUGUCUCAUUCAUCAUGUUGUGAUUAUUAAAAGAAAGAAGAAUUUGGAAGUUUCUGUUGGAUUAUGAAGUUGCAGGUUAAAAGUUUGCAUGUAUGAAAAAUUAGUAUAGAGAUCUUUAUGGAAAUAAAUGUUAUUCUAGUAUCAUAUUUAUAUCAUAGUUAACACCAAUAAUCAUUUUAUGGUUAACACCAAUAAUUUAAAUAACUUUUUAAAAAUCAAAUGCAUUUACUUUUUAAAAAUAAUACUUUAUAAUAAUUGCUCAUUUUAUUAUUAUUACUUCUUAAAUUAAUUUUAUAUGAGACUGAAUUUAGAUGACAUAAAAUGUUAAUAAGGUAAUAAAUUGUAGGUAGCAAAAAUAAAAAUGUUACUUUAAAUGAAUAGAAAAGAAAUAAAUAUAAGGUUUGGUUGUUGUACCAUUAUUGGUAUUAUUUCUUUUAUGGGGUUUUGAUAUUUUGGAAUGUUGUGUUUUGUUCAUUUUCUGGUUGCUCUCCAUGAUGUUUUGUCUUGUGGUGCAUGGAAUCUUUGAUGUAUAAUUUAUUAGUCUUUCAAAACCAACUAGUAUUGGUUCAAGUGGUACAUGUUUGAUUCCCCUUACGCGAAGUCUUGUGGAUGGAAAAAAUAUUGCUGGAAGAGUUAGCCCCACACAUCUAUAGUUGUUUUCAGCUCGAAUAAGAUUGUCUCCAAUGCAAGGAUACAUGAGAACCAAAACAAAAUAGCCUCUAAAAAAAAAUAAUGUCAAAAUUAACUUCUAAAUUUUUUAUUUGUAAUACGUGCUCCAAUGCUUUUGAAGUCAAGGUUUGUGGUUGUUGGUGUGGAGAAAACUAUUAUAGUUGGACUACAAAUUUUAUUAUAGUUUUUUGUUGCUUAUCUUAAUUAUGUUUAUGAAUAUAAAUUUUGAUAUUAAGUUAUGUUAGAGAAUUGUGUGCUAAAGCAGAAAAUAAGAGAGGAGUAUUCAAUUCACCAAAGAUUCAUUUAUAUUCAGAGUUUUACAAAACCUUCCUCUUAUAGCAAGUGCCAUAACAGAAUUAACAGAAAUUCAAACUAACAAACCAGAAAUAGAAAGUAUUGCUAAACUACCAAACCAGAAACCAAAGAGCUUGGGGCUUGGAUUAUUGGGCUUUCUUCAACAAGUUAGAGUAUUAUAUAAUGAUAUCAAUCGUGUAGAUGAACCAACAAAAGUUGUUAUAAUUUAAUCAAAGGUCUCUAGUGAAAUAUUGAAAUUACAGUAGCAUAAUGGAGAGGACAUUGAUGCCCAUAGUUCUAUAUUUUUUUGGUUAGUUGGGCCCCAUAGUUUAGGACAUGUCUCUUGACUAUAUUGUUUGCAUAUAUACAACCGACAGCGUAACUUCAGUAAAUUAUUCACUAUUGAUUUAUUAACCAUCGUUAAUUUUUAAACAAAAGUAAUUCAAAUUAAUGGUAGAUGAUGUGUUGACGGUGUAAAAAAAAUUUCACAAUAUUUUAAACACAUACACUUAUUAUAUUUGAGUUUGCCAAUUGGAAUCAUGUAAACACAAUAAAUGUAUUCGUGGUAAAUGUAAAAAUUUAUAGAUAGUCAUUCUUCAUCAUUCAUAUUACUUAUAUUUGAAAAUUAAUUAUGGUUAAUUAUAAAUGAUAUAUUGAUAGUGUAAAAAUAAUUAUAUUUCGAGUUUGAUGUAAUGUAAUAGAUUUUAAAAUAUGUAACUAAUUAUCAUUUGCUAAAACUCUGGGGAUUCAAUUUCUCUCAAACUUAGAAACUAACCAAUUGAGACCAUGUGACUUUAAUCACUGAUUUGAAUCUAAAGAAGGACUUCACCACUUCUAUAUAUUCUAGAUUACAAACAUUGAAGAAUUUUUUUUUGGUUUCCCACAUGUAUCCUCGUACUGGAGGCAAUCCUGUCCGAGUCGGGAACAUCUACAGGUACAUGAGGCUAAUUCUCCUAGCGGACAUUUUUUCCAUCCACAAGACUCAAACCCGAGACCUUACUUAAGGGGAAUCAAGCAUGUACCACUUGAAUCAGCGUUCGUUAGUUCACACAUUGAAGAAUAUGAAGAAAGAAAAGAUUGAUUGAUAAGUUGAUGCAUUGUAUUUAUGCUCAUUUUUAGUUCACAAUAAUGUUUUGGGCUGCUUUUGUUUAAUAGACUGUUUUGUCUUUAGAUUGAAACAAUUAAAGAAUGUGAACUAGGAAUGACAAGGACUCAUUAUGUGGCUUUACUCACAUUGACUUUUAUUAUUCCACCCUUUUUAUUUAUUUGAUUUCCAGAAUUUCCGAGAUCACCUAUUCUUAUUCCUGUCCUAUUUCUUAUCUUGAUCCAAUAAAAAAUUAACAUUUAAUUAGAAAGAAAAUUUUAAAAACGUAUUUAUAUUAUUUGAAGGAAAAUUCAUUGGCUGGAAACAUGAAUAUACACUCAUUUCGAAACAGAUGAUCCAAUUAUGAAAUUCAUGGCUUCUAGUGGCUGCCCAACAACCAAUGGUAUAGGUUUUAUUUCAAGCUAUGUAGCAAGUUCAAAUUUUAUAAUAAUGUGUUCUUUUAUCUUCUAUUCACAUUUGUUCUUUUAAUAGAAGUUGUGUUUUAUUAGCUAAUAAAUUGAAGAUAGUGUUGUAACAUCCUUUUUAUGAAAAGAUGUCAUUUUCUAUAUAGUUUCUUGUAACCCAAGCACGCAGGGUGGGGAGCUGCAGUUUCAAACAGAAGUCGAAAUGAUCAGCAUGGCAGUGCAUCGUAAUUUGCUUCGCCUCCGUGGUUUUUGCAUGACACCUACUGAAAGGUUGCUUGUGUAUCCUUACAUGGCUAAUGGAAGUGUAGCAUCAUGUUUACGAGGUACCCUUUUUCGUUUACUCUGCAUUUGAACUGCUUUGUCAUACUUUACUUGACGUUCUCGUGUAUAAAACUUCUCUGAUAGAAAUGUUUAGUGUUAGUUUUAAUGUCAAAAUUGUUUCUUGUUUAUCAUGAUUUAUUAUUCAAGAGAUAACAGUUAUCUAUCUCAUAGAUGUUAUCCAGCACCCGUACAAAAAUGUAGAAAUUUAUAAAUAGAUCAAACGCAAAUGAAUGUUCUCACUUUUGAACUUCACUAUUGAAAAUGUGUUUAUGCAUAUUGAUUGUGUUGUUGUAGAACGUCACGAUGGUGAUCCGCCACUGGAUUGGCCAAUAAGGAAGUGUAUUGCACUGGGUUCUGCUAGGGGGCUUGCUUAUUUACAUGAUCACUGUGACCCUAAGAUUAUUCAUCGUGAUGUCAAAGCUGCAAAUAUAUUGUUGGAUGAGGAAUUUGAAGCAGUUGUUGGAGAUUUCGGUUUAGCAAAACUUAUGGAUUACAAGGAUACCCAUGUUACUACUGCGGUACGUGGUACAAUUGGGCAUAUAGCACCGGAGUACCUCUCGACUGGAAAGUCUUCGGAGAAGACUGAUGUUUUUGGAUAUGGUGUGAUGCUUCUUGAACUAAUAACUGGACAGAGGGCUUUCGAUCUAGCUCGACUCGCAAAUGAUGAUGAUGUCAUGUUGCUUGACUGGGUAGGUAUUCCAUUUCUGUAACCUCAUGUUGUAUAUUUUAUUUGUCGGGGAUAGUACACUUGUACUUUUGUACCACUCCAUCCGAUUGGUCAAACAAAUAAAAUUUAAAAUUACUAGACCAAUCAGAGGAAUGGUACAUCGAUGCUUAGUCCUAUUAUCAUGUUGCAUAAAAUUGUCAAAAUCCGAGUGACAUGGUUAUGAAUCCAGGUUAAAGGACUACUGAAAGACAAGAAAUUGGAAGUACUAGUGGAUGCAGAUUUACAGGGAAAUUAUGAUGAUGAUGAGGUAGAGCAGUUAAUCCAAGUGGCCUUACUAUGCACACAAGGCUCACCUGUAGAAAGACCAAAGAUGUCCGAGGUUGUCAGAAUGCUAGAAGGCGAUGGUUUAGCCGAAAAAUGGGAGCAAUGGCAGAAAGAGGAG
rnacentral:lncRNA from 1 species